rnacentral:rRNA from 1 species
CCUCCUCGCCGGAAGACCAAGGGUUCCUGUCCAACGUUAAUCGGGGCAGGGUAAGUCGACCCCUAAGGCGAGGCCGAAAGGCGUAGUCGAUGGGAAACGGGUUAAUAUUCCCGUACUUCUUACAAUUGCGAUGGGGGGACGGAGAAGGCUAGGUGGGCCUGGCGACGGUUGUCCAGGUUCAAGUGCGUAGGCUUAAGAGUUAGGUAAAUCCGGCUCUUUUUAAGGCUGAGACACGACGUCGAGCACCUACGGGUGUGAAGUCAUUGAUGCCAUGCUUCCAGGAAAAGCCUCUAAGCUUCAGAUUGUAAGGAAUCGUACCCCAAACCGACACAGGUGGUCGGGUAGAGAAUACCAAGGCGCUUGAGAGAACUCGGGUGAAGGAACUAGGCAAAAUGGUACCGUAACUUCGGGAGAAGGUACGCUCUCGACGGUGAAGUCCCUUGCGGAUGGAGCUAUU